UGAGAUGUGGCUCAGAGGUAGACAGCACUUGCCUGGCAUGUAUGAUGUCCUGGGUUUGAACCUCAGCACUGCAA
rnacentral:tRNA from 1 species